UUAUGGUUUAAAAAUUUUAUUUAAAGUUUAUUUUACAUACAAAUUUUAGUGUUAAUUUUAACUUAUUUAAAUAAUAUUUAAAUUAAAAUAGUAGUAAUUAAUAUUAAAUUAUUUAAGAAAUUAAGAUUUAGUAAUAUUUUAAUUAAUAACAAAUUUUGUGCCAGCAGUUGCGGUUAUACAAAAAUUAAAUUAAAUUUUAUUGAUUAUUAAUUAGUAAUUGUAAUUGAAUAAUAAAAAUUUUAAAUUAUUAGGUGAAAUUUUAAUUUAAUUAAAUUUUAUAAAUUAAAAAUUAUGAUUUAAUAAAUUUUAUAAAAAACUAGGAUUAGAUACCCUAUUAUAAAAAUUUAAAAUUAAAAUAUCAAAAUAGUAAAUAAAUAUUUAUUGAAACUUAAAUAAUUUGGCGGUAUUUUAGUUCAUUUAGAGGAAUCUGUUUAAUAAUUGAUAAUCCACGAAUAAAUUUACUUAAUUUAUUAUUUUGUAUAUCGUUGUUAAAAAAAUAUUUUUUAAUAAAAUUAAUAUUUAAAAAUUAUUAUAUAAAUUUAAAUCAGAUCAAGAUGCAGAUUAUAAUUAAGAAUAUGAUGGAUUACAAUAAAUUUAUUUAAAUGAAUAUUAAUUUGUAAUAAUUAAUUGAAAGUGGAUUUAAAUGUAAUUUUAUUUAGUUUAAUAAAAUGAUUAAAAAUUAAAAUAUGUACAUAUUGCCCGUCGCUUUCAUAUAAUAAUAAAUUGAAAUAAGUCGUAACAAAGUAGAGGUACUGGAAAGUGUUUCUAGAAAGAA
rnacentral:ncRNA from 1 species